GCGCCUAUAGCUUAAUUGGGAUAGAGCACUGGUUUCCGGAGCCUGUAAUUCCGGUUCGAGUCCGGAUAGGCGCG
rnacentral:tRNA from 1 species